rnacentral:rRNA from 1 species
AUUGAACGCUGGCGACAUGCCUUACACAUGCAAGUCGAACGGCAGCACGGGUGCUUGCACCUGGUGGCGAGUGGCGAACGGGUGAGUAAUACAUCGGAACAUGUCCUGUAGUGGGGGAUAGCCCGGCGAAAGCCGGAUUAAUACCGCAUACGAUCUACGGAUGACAGCGGGGGACCUUCGGGCCUCGCGCUAUAGGGUUGGCCGAUGGCUGAUUAGCUAGUUGGUGGGGUAAAUGCAUACCAAGGCGACGCUCAGUAGCUGGUCUGAGAGGACGACUAGCCACACUGGGACUGAGGCAGGGCCCAGACUCCUACGGGAGGCAGCAGUGGGGAAUUUUGGACAAUGGGCGAAAGCCUGAUCCAGCAAUGCCGCGUGUGUGAAGAAGGCCUUCGGGUUGUAAAGCACUUUUGUCCGGAAAGAAAUCCUUGGCCCUAAUACGGUCGGGGGAUGACGGUACCGGAAGAAUAAGCACCGGCUAACUACGUG